GAGUUUGAUCGUGGCUCAGGAUGAACGCUGGCGGCGUGCUUAACACAUGCAAGUCGAACGGAACUUGUAAGUGGAAGUCUUCGGAUGGAAACUUACUUGUUUAGUGGCGGACGGGUGAGUAACGCGUGGGUAACCUGCCCUUACACAGGGGGGAUAACAGCCGGAAACGGCUGCUAAUACCGCAUAAGCGCACAGCUUCGCAUGGAGUGGUGUGAAAAGAUUUUAUCGGUGUAAGAUGGACCCGCGUCUGAUUAGCUAGUUGUGGGUAACGGCCUACCAAGGCAACGAUCAGUAGCCGGCUUGAGAGAGUGAACGGCCACAUUGGGACUGGAGACACAGCCCAAACUCCUACGGGAGGCAGCAGUGGGGAAUAUUGCACAACUGGGCGAAAGCCUGAUGCAGCGACGUCGCGUGAGUGAAGAAGUA
rnacentral:rRNA from 1 species